rnacentral:lncRNA from 1 species
AUGGAAACACAAAAUUUUGGCUCUGAUUCACCUUAUAAAGCAAAGCUUCAGCGAUUAGCCAAAGAUCUUCUAAAACAACUACAAAUACAAGACAGUGGCUCAUGGGCAAACAAUAAAGUAUCUGCUUUGGAUCGGACCCUAGGAGAGAUCACUAGAAUACUGGAAAAAGAGAAUGUGGCAGAUCAGAUUGCAUUUCAAGCUGCUGGUGGAUUAACAGCCCUUGAACACAUCCUUCAAGCGGUAGUCCCAGCCACAAAUGUGAACACAGUUUUAAGAAUUCCUCCUAAGUCUCUCUGCAAUGCAAUCAAUGUUUACAACCUCACCUGCAAUAACUGUUCAGAAAACUGCACUGAUGUUCUGUUUAGUAACAAGAUUACCUUCUUAAUGGACCUCCUGAUACACCAGUUGACGGUUUAUGUUCCAGAUGAAAAUAAUACUAUUUUGGGAAGAAAUACAAAUAAACAAGUUUUUGAAGGCUUGACAACUGGACUUCUCAAAGCUGGUGCUGUGGUUUUGGGCUGCCUGAUUGCCAAUCGACCAGAUGGAAGCCACCAGCCAGCUUCACCAAAAAUACCAACACAGGAAGUGAAAAACAAACCCUCACAAGGCGAUGCUUUUAACAGUCGAGUUCAGGACCUUAUCAGCUACGUGGUGAACAUGGGUCUGAUUGACAAACUGUGUGCCUGCUUCCUCUCGGUGCAAGGCCCAGUGGAUGAGAAUCCCAAGAUGGCCACAUUUCUGCAGCAUGCCACGGGACUCUUACAUGCUCUGUGCACACUGUGCUUUGCUGUCACUGGAAGGUCAUACAGCAUAUUUGACAAUAAUCGCCAGGAUCCCACAGGGCUGACAGCUGCUCUUCAGGCAACUGACCUGGCUGGAGUUCUUCACAUGCUCUACUGUGUCCUGUUCCAUGGCACCAUCUUGGACCCUAGCACUGCCAGUCCCAAGGAGAGUUACGCCCAGAACACCAUCCAAGUGGCCAUUCACAGUUUACGUUUCUUCAACAGCUUUGCAGCACUUGAUCUGCCUGCUUUUCAGUCUAUUGUAGGGGCAGAGGGCUUGUCCCUUGCAUUCCGGCACAUGGCCAGCUCCCUGCUAGGCCAUUGCAGCCAAGUCUCCUGUGAAAGCCUCCUUCAUGAGGUCAUCGUCUGUGUGGGCUACUUCACUGUCAACCACCCAGAUAACCAGGUGAUCGUGCAGUCCGGCCGCCACCCCACAGUGCUGCAGAAGCUCUGCCAGCUGCCCUUCCAGUAUUUCAGUGACCCACGGCUGAUCAAAGUCCUGUUCCCUUCACUUAUCGCUGCUUGUCACAACAACCAUCAGAACAAGAUCAUUCUGGAGCAAGAGAUGAGCUGCGUUUUACUGGCCACUUUCAUUCAGGACUUUGCACAGACUCCAGGUCAAGCAGAAAACCAGCCUUACCAGCCCAAAAGGAAUUGCCUUGGUUCCCAAGACUAUCUUGAGCUGGCUAACAGAUUUCCUCAGCAGGCCUGGGAAGAAGCUCGACAGUUUUUCUUGAAAAAAGAGAAAAAAUAAAUGUUUUGGUUGAUUCUGUAUUUGAGUACUCUUGUUAAUAUUUUAAUUGUUCAAACAAACAUUCUAACUCUUCCUUAAGAACUCAUUUCCACAUGUUUAUGCUCUCCCUACACUGUAGAUAUGGCAUGUACUUUACACUAUUUAUAAUGACUGUAGAUACUUGAAUGUUCUACUUGCUAAUUUUGCAAGUUGAGUUUAUUUCAUUUAUGCAGAAUAUCUUGGAGUUUGUUAACUUCCAUCUUACAAUAAUAUAUACUUUGCAUUUGUAAUAUGGGUGAAAGUAGACAAAAUUAGCAAGUCUGUUUUGUUCUUGUAAUAAAAUAACUUAUUCUGUUUUCAUUGUUGACUUUUCAUGUUACAGAAAUAAAAUCUGAAAGAAAAAUGUUAACUCCAGCUCUUGAAGUAUCUUAAAUAAAGACUUAAAAGUUUGCCUGCUCACUUUUUAAGGUCUACGGUAAAGAUAUUUACAACACUUUCACAUUCUGAGUACAUGAUAUGUUUGGGGGCGAGUUGAAAUCAACUUAAGGCAUUGUACUCUUUGGUCUGCCCCAACUCUCCUAGCAGGUAAUCCUGAGAACCUCUCUUGGCAUUGCCGAGCUGAAAUUAUUCUCCUAAGUAAAAAUUAGUGA